GUAGGUUGCGAGCGUUGUCCGGAUUUACUGGGCGUAAAGCGCACGCAGGCGGUUCCGAAAGUCGGACGUGAAAGCUCCCGGCCCAACUGGGAGAGGCCGUUCGAAACUUCGGGACUUGAAGGCGGGAGAGGCGAAUGGAAUUUCCGGUGUAGCGGUAAAAUGCGUAGAUACCGGAAGGAACACCAGUGGCGAAAGCGAUUCGCUGGCCCGCCCUUGACGCUCAUGUGCGAAAGCUAGGGGAGCGACCGGGAUUAGAUACCCCGUUAGUCCUAGCCGUAAACAAUGGGCACUAGGUGUUGUCGGUAUCGACCCCGGCAGUGCCGAAGCUAACGCAUUAAGUGCCCCGCCUGGGGAGUACGACCGCAAGGUUA
rnacentral:rRNA from 1 species